GUUUCUGUGUCGCAAUCGGUUAGCGCGUUCGGCUGUUAACCGAAAGGUUGAUGGUUUGAAUCCAUCCAGAAACG